rnacentral:lncRNA from 1 species
GUUGCGUUGGCAGCUGGUCUCCCACACCGUCUCUGCCAGUUAGAGCGAGGACCCACCUGGCUCCUUCCGUCACUAGUUAAUCUCUAGCCCCCUGUGCGGGCGAGGGAGGUGGCGUUGCCAUCCCUGCACGGUAUCUUCAGCGCUAUUGAUGUGGCCGGGCAGGAAUGGUUGCACUUGUGGGUGGGGUCUGUCUUCUCGCAUACCCUACAAAGCUGUCCUUCCCUCUCCUGCGAGCGAGCGAGUGAGCUGCUGGGGCUUCUGUCAGAACUCGCUGUUGCCCUUUAUUCGUGUGCAGCUCCUCUCUAAAGCAGUUCCUUUAACAUCAUGAACGAAGGCUGUGUAUUCUCAUAGAUUUUUUUUUUUCCUUUCUCCAUUUAAUCUGUGCUUUUAGAUGGGCCUUGUACCUAAUGUCCUUUCUCCCUAGGUUUAUCACAGUGGCCUCUUUUUCCCUCCUUCCCUGAACACCAUCUUGUUUUGCAGAUCCAGAGUUCAGGCCAGCGACUUCUAACCUUAUUGGGGACUGACUGUAACAACUGAAUAGAAUUAAUGCCUCAGCUGUAUCUUGCAGUACCCACUGGUGUAAUGUGUGCAGAUACCUACCACACAUCUGAAAAAUUCAGGUCUCAUGGUUUUAAAAAAAAAAAUAUCCUGUGGUAUCCUCACCGGUUGGUCUGCCUGCUUUCUCUAGCCACCUCAAGUCUUCCUGCACAGCAUCCUAUAAUGAAGAUUGUCUAGCACUGAAUAUUACAGGCUACUUAUGGGCGGUAAUUAAAUGUGUGCAGUGGAUGCUAAGAAUCUUACAUAUGUAUCGAGUUUCAGCUCCUCUAUUGCAACUCGCUGUCAAUUUCAUUGUUGAAUGAGGCAGUUGCAUUUAAAUACUAUUGAGGGUCACUGUAUCUUUGAAAAGUCGUGGAGCUUGGGGAAGAUCUCCAGUGACAGGAGAAAGGUGAAUGUCAUGCCCACCUUCAGAAAGAACAAGAAGGAUGAUCUGGGGAGCUGCAAGUCAGUCAGCAUCACUUUGGUCUCUGGGAAAGCCUUGAAGCAAGUUCUUGUGGAAGCCUUUUCUGGGCAUGUGAAGGACUAUUGGGAAUAGCCAGCAUGGAUUUACCAAGGUGCUCUGGUCUUGCAACCUGUCCCACUGCACCCCUGGAAUCCUAGUAAGAUCACAACUCUGCAGCUGUGCAUAAUUUCUCCUAUGUGUUUCCCGUGCUGUGGGUGUUUUGUUCCCCCACUUGAGAG